rnacentral:rRNA from 1 species
UGGGGAAUAUUGGGCAAUGGACGCAAGUCUGACCCAGCAACGCCGCGUGAAGGAAGAAGGCUUUCGGGUUGUAAACUUCUUUUAAGGGGGAAGAGCAGAAGACGGUACCCCUUGAAUAAGCCACGGCUAACUACGUGCCAGCAGCCGCGGUAAUACGUAGGUGGCAAGCGUUGUCCGGAUUUACUGGGUGUAAAGGGCGUGCAGCCGGGCCGACAAGUCAGAUGUGAAAUCCGCGGGCUUAACCCGCGAACUGCAUUUGAAACUAUUGGUCUUGAGUACCGGAGAGGUCAUCGGAAUUCCUUG